rnacentral:misc_RNA from 1 species
GUCUAAAAUUCACCAAAUUUUAACCCAGCAGCCUCAACAUCCCAAAUAUCAUUUGUACCAAAUUACAUAAUUUUUUAAGUUUCCUAACUAUUUAUUUUCCUUAAAUUUCAGUAGCCAAAAUUUACAGUUCUAAUUGCAGACAGCCUGUGUUCAACAAUAUGUUUCUCCAAAUCCAACCGUUGAACAAUCACCAAAUUUUUACCAUAACUUCCACACAUACAUAGCUUAAACAUAUCCAAAAAUCAGCCUUAGAUGUUGAGCCAAACUCACCUGGACGGAAGAGAAACAUGCUGCCCUGCUGAACCCCUGUUUCUGCUACUGUUCAUCUCCUUCUCCUUCUUCCUUUCUUUCUU